rnacentral:rRNA from 1 species
AUCCUACUUGGAUAACUGUGGUAAUUCUAGAGCUAAUACAUGCACUCGAG